GACGAACGCUGGCGGCGUGCCUAAUACAUGCAAGUCGAACGCAGUGGGGACGGGUGAGUAACACGUGGGUAACCUCCCAUCAGAGGGGAUAACACUUGGAAACAGGUGCUAAACCGAUACUGAUGGAUGGACCCGCGGUGCAGUAGCUAGUUGGUGGGGUAACGGCGCACCAAGGCAACGAUGCAUGGCCGACCGCGUAGGGUUGGCGGCCCACCGGGGACGGAGAUGCGGCCUAGACUCCUACGGGAGGCAUCAGUAGGGAAGCUUCGGCAAGGGACGAAAGUCUGACCGAGCAACGCCGCGUGAGUGAAGAAGGUUUUCGGAUCGUAAAACUCUGUUGUUAGUGAAGCGGUAUCUAACCAGAAAGCCACGGCUAACUACGUGCCAGCAGCCGCGGUAAUAC
rnacentral:rRNA from 1 species